rnacentral:lncRNA from 1 species
UCAUCGUUUUCAUUAUGAUCCUAUGACCGGGAGCCUUUAGGAAUUAAAUACAUGUCUCUAAUUCUCAACACCUUGAGAGUAUGCAUCGAAACUAAUUCCAUGAACGUUUUAAUGACACAUUAUACUUGAAUGAAAAAGAAUUUGCCCUUUUAUUGAUCAUAUCAAUAUAUUAAGUAUAAAAUUAUGUCCUAGAUUAAUUACAAUGUGUCAGCCAUAUUGGCUUUUAG